UUAAGUUCAGCGGGUAUCCCUACCUGAUCCGAGGUCAACCUGAAAGAAUUGGGGGUUGUUGGCGAGCACGUAUAGGGAUCCAUCGCGAGAAAAAUUACUACGCGUAGAGCCUACAGGCACCGCCACUGAUUUUAGGGGCCGCGGGGACCGCGAUUCCCAAGACCAAGCUAGGCUUGAGGGUUGUAAUGACGCUCGAACAG
rnacentral:misc_RNA from 1 species